GAUGAAGAACGCAGCGAAAUGCGAUAAGUAAUGUGAAUUGCAGAAUUCAGUGAAUCAUCGAAUCUUUGAACGCACAUUGCGCCCCUUGGUAUUCCGAGGGGCAUGCCUGUUCGAGCGUCAUUAUAACCCCUCAAGCUCAGCUUGGUGUUGGGGCCUGCUGCACUAGCAGCCCUUAAAAUCAGUGGCGGCGCCAUCUGGCUCUAAGCGUAGUAAUUCUUCUCGCUAUGGAGUCCUGGUGGAUGCUUGCCAUCAACCCCCAAUUUUUCUAUGGUUGACCUCGGAUCAGGUAGGGAUACCCGCUGAACUUAAGCAUAUCAAUAAGCGGGGGA
rnacentral:misc_RNA from 1 species